rnacentral:misc_RNA from 1 species
AAGUCGUAACAAGGUUUCCGUAGGUGAACCUGCGGAAGGAUCAUUAGUGAAUAUUAGCGUGUCGACCUUUACAGGAAGAGCGUGACCUCCACUUUUCAAACUCUUGUGCAUUUUUCGGCGGUUUCAUUUUGUGAUCUAAGAGCUUUGGCUCAAAAAAAAUCUAAAGUGGUUCCGUGGCUCAUUUAUAAACACUAUAGUUAAAGUAUGUAAUGAAAAUUUAAAACAAAAAAAAACUUUCAACAACGGAUCUCUUGGCUCUC